CCUCGAUGAUGAGUUGCUAUGCUACUAACUGAGCUACCAGCUAGGGCAGUGUUGCCCUGCUUCGGUGCCAGGGGGUUUAACAAAAUACUGGCAGCC
ensembl:snoRNA